rnacentral:sRNA from 1 species
AUCAAUUUGUCAUCCAAGCAACAAAUAUUCUUUGGUAAUCUUCUAUCAGAUGAUGACAGUUUUCUCUUUGGCAUUUUUAUGAGUUAAAGCUUUCAAGGCCAAAGGUAUCAGCUAUCAGCAGUGAUAUACAAUUCUUCAUUGCCAAACAGUGACCCGCUUUACUGUUCUUCAAUGUCAAGAGUCUGGAAAUGUCAGCCCAAGGAGAUCAAGUUUGUGUCCAAGGUUACUUUGGUAAUUCUCUAAGAACAAUAGGUGAGUUGAAUUCUAGUGUACCAGUCAAAUAUCUUAUAGCAAAGU